CCACCAGAGCCUGAGCAAUAGAUGUUUCUAACUUAACCACUCGAGCUCAGUCUUCAGGCAUCCCAAGGCAGGGGAUUAUUGUUGGAUUCACCCGUAAACUGAAAACUUUUGAAGAAACAAAGAAUGAUCAAAACCAUAGGAAGAACAGAAACCACAAUGUCAGGACUGCCUGCCUUGGCAAAUGCUGUGACAAUAAAGAGGUGAGGGGACCACGGCCAUUCAACUGAAACAUAAGGAGUGAAAAGAAGUUGACUUUGUGAUUCUGAAGUUUCAAGCCUGGCAUAUUGUAAAGACAGUAGCGUCACAAACAAAAACAAAAUCACAGAUUGAGUUAAUAUCUGCUGUUCAAUAAAAGAGACAAAGUCGC